rnacentral:tRNA from 1 species
GCGUUUGUGGUUUAGUGGUAAAAUUCGUCGUUGCCAUUCAAUGAUAUCGACGAGCCCCGGGUUCAAUUCCCGGCGGACGCA